AUUGAACGCUGGCGGCAUGCUUUACACAUGCAAGUCGAACGGUAACAGGCCGCAAGGUGCUGACGAGUGGCGAACGGGUGAGUAAUGCAUCGGAACGUGCCCAGUCGUGGGGGAUAACGCAGCGAAAGCUGCGCUAAUACCGCAUACGAUCUAUGGAUGAAAGCGGGGGACCGUAAGGCCUCGCGCGAUUGGAGCGGCCGAUGUCAGAUUAGGUAGUUGGUGGGGUAAAGGCUCACCAAGCCAACGAUCUGUAGCUGGUCUGAGAGGACGACCAGCCAACCUGGGACUGAGACACGGCACAGACUACUAAGGGAGGAAGCAGUGGGGAAUUUUGGACAAUGGGCGCAAGCCUGAUCCAGCAAUGCCGCGUGCAGGAAGAAGGCCUUCGGGUUGUAAACUGCUUUUGUACGGAACGAAACGGUCCUGGUUAAUACCUGGGGCUAAUGACGGUACCGUAAGAAUAAGCACCGGCCAACUACGUGCCAGCCGCCGCAGUAAGAC
rnacentral:rRNA from 1 species